GCUAUAUAUAUAACUUUAGGUGCUCUGAUUUUAUUUAGGUUUCGGCAGAUAAGAGAUUACAAAACAAAAGAUUGAACAAUGCGUGCUAAGUGGAAGAAGAAGAGAAUGAGGAGGCUUAAGAGGAAGCGCCGAAAGAUGAGACAGAGAUCCAAGUAGAUAAGUUUGUGCUUCAGACAGUGAGACGGCUUCUUUCAACGAUCCUGCAUCUUCAUCACCUUCUGCAGCCAUGGAGAUAGCGUGUAACAGAUGAAGCUUUGUGAUGUAGCUGUUUGAUUGUCUAGUGGCUUGGCUUGUUUCUGCUUUGCUUUAACGUCUUCAUUUUGUAAUGCACUUCCUGAAAUGUUAGGGUUUAACUUUCGGCUUAAAAUCCUUGACUAGCUGUAUUUCUUUUAUCCAUGGAUUAAGACAACUUUUUGGAUUUGAAA